AACGAUCAUGACCCCCAUGCUCAACCCCAUGAUCUACACCCUGAGGAACCCGGAGAUGCAGGCAGCAGUGAAGAGACUAGGGAGGUGCCGGCUGGCUUACAGAAAGGAGUGACAGCGGGUCUUUGGGGAAAGCUCCCGAGUUUGUUUUGGCUGAACCAAUUAAAGGAAGGACAGGAGCCUGAGGAAGUAGGGCAUUCUAGGAGGACAGGUGGCUGCGGCUGCGGCAGUGGCAGGGGCUGGCCCAGGAGGAGCCAUCAGCAAUUUCUGAGAGAGCUGGAAUGGAGAGGGAGCUACGGGCAGGAGGAGGCAGCUGGACGCCCAGAGACAAUGAUGCGACGUCUGCCUGCCGGGAUCUCCACCCCUGGCCGUGUCUUCUAACUGUGUUGACACUGGCGCACACCAAGUACAAGGCAGAGGGUGCCCAUGCAAACCAAAAGUGUUUUCUGUUUUCUUGUUGAAUUUAAAAACAACAAUAAAACUGACUAAAGGUGCUUGUUAUAAUUACUGUGUUCAUGCAACUCUAAAUCAUGUCAGCACUAAAACAGUCCUUCCUGUCAGAUGGGUUGUUCCUACCACCCUACUCCUCAUAAACCCUGUGUGUUUGUGGGUGUAUGUGUGCAUGCGUGUGUGUGUGUGCACGCACGUGCGCGUGUGUGUGCGUGUGUGUGUGUGAGACAAACAGAUGGGGUCCUGAGAAUCUGGGGGUAAAUUAGAAUUAGAGAGGGAAGAUCAAAGGUAUUAUGAAGAGGAGUGUUAAGUGGUUGAAAGAGGUGAUCACAUAUACUUCUGGACUCUUCAAGGGUGUCAAUAAAGCAGGCAAAGGCUUGGGUGAGGGAAAAGGUUGAGUUGGAGCCUGUCUCCCAUGACAGAGAAUGUGCCCCAAGAUCCCCUGUACAGCUCUCCCAAGAAUCUGAACAUGGUCCCAUGGCCUUUGGUUUGACCAGCAGCAUGAACUUGAUGUAGGAGACAGAUGGGCUCCAGGUUAGACAUUUACAACUGGCCUCCUAUUUACAUUUCAUGGGGUACAAAGAAGUGGGCUUCAGGCUGGAUACUUAAAACUGUUAGCAUUUUCUGAGACAAUAGAUAGGUGGGCUCCAGUUAAGGCAUUUACAAUCAGCCUUCUAUUUGCCCUCCAAAAUGGAAGUAACAAAAGAAACAGGGUAUAAUAGGCAUUUGUCUCUUGUAUAUAUCUUAAGGUAAUAAUCAUGGCAAUGGUCAAGGUUAAUAGCUGCGGCAAGGACAAAGAAGGGAAAACCUUGUUUGAGUGAACGAUUAAGGGAUCUGCUUCCUCCCUCUUUUGGGACAAGAGAGACACUACACAUGCACAGAAAGACUCCUUGUGGGUUAAAAGUCAGGGGAUAACACCAGACCGUGAUGAGUCUUGCUUCUCCCAGAAGCCUUCACUUUGAGAUCCACCUCGGCUGAGGUGUGCAUGGGCACCCCAAGGGAGGGUCCUAGAGUGGGUCAGGUGUGGGAAAAGAAGCCAGAUAAUUGGCCUGAGUUCAGUUCAGUUCAUUUGCUCAGUCCAGCUCCACCCCACAGCCUGCAGUACACUAGGCUUCCCUGUCCAUCACCAACUCCUGAAUCUUGCUCAAACUCAUGCCCAUUGAGUUGGUGAUACCAUCCAACCACCUCAUCCUCUGUCGUUUCUUUCUCCUGCCUUCAAUCUUUCCCACAUCAGGGUCUUUUCAAAUGAGUCAGNNNNNNNNNNNNNNNNNNNNNNNNNNNNNNNNNNNNNNNNNNNNNNNNNNNNNUAGGAUUGACUAGUUGGAUCUCCUUGCAGUCCAAGAGACUCUCAAGAGUCCUCUUCAACACUAUAGUUCAAAAGCAUCAAAUCUUCAGCACUCAGCUCUCUUUAUGGUCCAACUCUCACAUCCAUGUGUGACUACUGGAAAAACCAUAGUUUUGACUAGAUGGACAUUUUUUAGCAAAAUAAUGUCUCUGUUUUUUAUUAUGCUGUUUAGAUUUGUAUUUGUUUUUCUUCCAACGAGCAAGAGUCUUUUAAUUUCAUGGCUGUAGUCAGCAUCUGCAAUGAUUUUGGAGCCCAAGAAAAUAAAGUCUGUCACUGUUUUC
ensembl:lncRNA